AACGAACGCUGGCGGCAGGCUUAACACAUGCAAGUCGAACGCGAAAUCACCUUUGGGUGGUGGAGAGUGGCAGACGGGUGAGUAACGCGUGGGAACCUACCUAGUGGUACGGAAUAACUCAGGGAAACUUGGGCUAAUACCGUAUGUGCCCGAAAGGGGAAAGAUUCAUCGCCACUAGAUGGGCCCGCGUCGGAUUAGCUUGUUGGUGAGGUAACGGCUCACCAAGGCGACGAUCCGUAGCUGGUCUGAGAGGAUGAUCAGCCACACUGGGACUGAGACACGGCCCAGACUCCUACGGGAGGCAGCAGUGGGGAAUAUUGGACAAUGGGUGCAAGCCUGAUCCAGCCAUGCCGCGUGAGUGAUGAAGGCCCUAGGGUUGUAAAGCUCUUUCGGCGGGGACGAUAAUGACGGUACCCGCAGAAGAAGCCCCGGCUAACUUCGUGCCAGCAGCCGCCGCCG
rnacentral:rRNA from 1 species